CGCGGCCCCGCCGUUCAAGUCAAACAGGCCAAGCCAAGCUCUUGCCUAACGAGCUGCUUCAUGGCGCCUCGUUGGCUCCUCCCGCCGCUCUCCAGCAGCCCCGCGCUCUGUCUUCUGGGUUCUUCCGCUUCUAGACACUUCUGCAAGCCCAGCCCCGCCCCCCCCCCCAUGCGCCUUCUGCGCGCUCAGGCGGUGGCCCCCCUGCUGGGCCCGCUGCAGCCCCGGGGCAAUGCGGGGUUCGGGGCCGGGGCCGGAUGCUCUCUCCCGAGGGGCCGGGGGGGGGUGGGGGGAGCCGACGCCCGAUGCCCGGAGCGUGCAGCUGCGCGGGGCCCUGCGCUCCUCCAGCACGGAAUGAAGCCCUGCAUGAAAGCUAACAUUAAAGUUUUUACGUCGGGCGCCUGGGGGGCUCAGCGGGGGAGCAUGUGCCUCGGGCCCGGGGCGUGACCCCAGGGUCCCGGGAUCGAGUCCCGCAUCGGGCUCCCCGCACGGAGCCUGCCUCUCCCCCUGCCUGUGUCUCUGCCUCUCUGUGUGUCUCUCAUGAAUAAUUUUUUUUAAAUAAAGUUUUUAUGUCUUAAUUUUCAAAGAGGAUCUGUGACUUAUAUAUAUAUAACAUAUAAAUGUUUUAACUAUGCUAAGUUACUAUUUAAGUGGAGCACAAGGUAUCAGAUGGUGAAGUUCAGACAACAGGCCACAAGAGAAGUUAAAACGCAGAGGUUUAUUAUUCACGGGUCACGGGGGAGGUACACACAGCGAGCCCCGAGGGCCUCGCAGGCUGAAGGCAGAGACAGGACCUGGGGCACCUGCCUUUAUUAGGGUCCGCGGGUACAGUGCUUCGACUUCCUGGGCUAAGUGAGGCUGGAUGGGUCAAUUCAAAAGAGUGGGGUUUUGGCAAACCCCGUGGCGCUCUCAUCUAAGGGGCAAGGGGACAUUGAGGCCCCAGGAGGUCGUGGAGACUGUUGACCCAAGGGCUGCUCCCCAGGACGUGCACCUGCUUGAGGGGCGAGGGUCAGUUCAAGGUCCCCGCAGGCCACCUUGCAAACAGGAUG
rnacentral:lncRNA from 1 species